UACGGAGGAUCCAAGCGUUAUCCGGAAUCAUUGGGUUUAAAGGGUCCGUAGGCGGGAUGAUAAGUCAGUGGUGAAAGUUUUCGGCUCAACCGAGAAAUUGCCGUUGAAACUGUUGUUCUUGAAUUAUUGUGAAGUGGUUAGAACGUGUAGUGUAGCGGUGAAAUGCAUAGAUAUUACACAGAAUACCGAUUGCGAAGGCAGAUCACUGACAAUAUAUUGACGCUGAUGGACGAAAGCGUGGGUAGCGAACAGG
rnacentral:rRNA from 1 species